UGUCAAUGGGAUUAGGCAACAAUCCCGCGGUCACACAAUUAACCCAAGUCAAUAGAAACCGGCGUAAAGAGUGUUUUAGAUCAAUCCCCCUCAAUAAAGCUAAAAUUCACCUGAGUUGUAAAAAACUCCAGCCGAUACAAAAUAAACUACGAAAGUGGCUUUAACACAUCUGAAUACACAAUAGCUAAGACCCAAACUGGGAUUAGAUACCCCACUAUGCUUAGCCCUAAACUUCAACAGUUAAAUUAACAAAACUGCUCGCCAGAACACUACGAGCCACAGCUUAAAACUCAAAGGACCUGGCGGUGCUUCAUAUCCCUCUAGAGGAGCCUGUUCUGUAAUCGAUAAACCCCGAUCAACCUCACCGCCUCUUGCUCAGCCUAUAUACCGCCAUCUUCAGCAAACCCUGAUGAAGGUUACAAAGUAAGCACAAGUACCCACGUAAAGACGUUAGGUCAAGGUGUAGCCUAUGAGGUGGCAAGAAAUGGGCUACAUUUUCUACCCCAGAAAAUUACGAUAACCCUUAUGAAACCUAAGGGUCGAAGGUGGAUUUAGCAGUAAACUAAGAGUAGAGUGCUUAGUUGAACAGGGCCCUGAAGCGCGUACACACCGCCCGUCACCCUCCUCAAGUAUACUUCAAAGGAUACUUAACUUAAACCCCCUACGUAUUUAUAUAGAGGAGAUAAGUCGUAACAUGGUAAGUGUACUGGAAAGUGCACUUGGACGAACCAGAGU
rnacentral:ncRNA from 1 species